CAAAACGCUGCAUUCUCCUCUCUCUACCUAUUGAUUCUGUUACAUGCCCGAACAGCCCUGUUAGACAUGGAUGCUUGUCCCAAUAGAAAAAAAAAAGUGGCAGAAGCUGUAUGACUUGCUCAUUCAAGAGGCCGAGUGAAAUAUAAGGACAUCAAUCAAGAAAUUAACCCGAGUGAUUACUGGAGAAGGUAUUCAGUCACACAUCACGUGAGGUGCUGUUAUUCACAGUUUGCAAUAUCAGUGACCCAGAUCCUUAACUACAGAGGACUAGAGCCUGAUCUUUUAGAAUACCCGAGAAUCUGCAACUUCAAAGAAAGGCAAUGGAUAUUUAAGGACAUUUACUGCUUCUACAUACCCAAAGGUCCAAGCAUCUUUAACUUUUUACUUUGAAGUUGAGUGACUUCAUUUUACAUUAUGGCUCUAACCCUGAUUUUGAGUCCAGUAUGUUCCCAGCUACCUUUCCUCUGAGCUCUUUGGCAGAAGGAAAAUACUUCAGUCUUUUUCCAAUUUUUGUCAGCUGAUAUGUUACUAUUGGUUCUUCCUUAUGUACAAGAACAGUUAUGUUCUGUGCCUCCAUAAAGUGUUGCGUGCUAAUCAAAUAAUCAAGUGGAAAAUAAUUUCAGUAGGUGAACCUCCAAGACAAAUAUUAAGAUAUAAAACUGUCCUCAGAGUUAAUCACUCUUCAUUUCUUAAGAUUCUGUUUUCCCUUCUCUGAAAACCUUUGUGUACUGGACUGACUACCCAGAAAAGAGGUAUUUCAUAUUCAACAGCAUGGUUGUAGGCAAAAUAUUGUGAAGGUGAAAUGCACAAAUCAAUCAGGAGAAGAAUUAACCCAAAUUGACAGUAUGUACCUAGAUUGUAUGAGAUCAGUGCCAAUGAUUUAAACACAAUGGCAUUUUCCAGCCUGCGAGCCAAAUGAAUACUUUGGAAGGCGUCUACACAGUUUGUGUUACAGUCUACAAAAGGUUAAUUCUUCCUGAUGCCUGUGAGUGCUGUGUGAAGACUGGCUGAAGUUAUGCUAGAAAAGGCAUCCAUGUCCCAACAUGGAUAAAACAAAAUGUUCCCAUGGUCUGAAGUGAACUUUCUCCCUAUGUUGGUGUGCUUCUGGACAGAGAGCUUAGUUAAGAGUCUGCUGCACACCGAAAGUGUGCUUUGUAAGUGCACCAGUAAUCUCACAGAGGCACGUGUUAGCAUCUUGAGCCAAGCAUGAUGUCAGGGUCAUAAUUUGAAACCCUCACCUCAGCUUCACUAAAUGUCUGCGAUAACAGCAGCACAUGCUUUUACAAGAAAUAUGCUGUAGCCCUAGUGAAUGAAAAAGCUCUCAAGGCAACACAAUCUGCAGACAGUGUGAAGUUGAAGCAUAAUAUUUUCAUGCACUGCCUGCAAAGGAACUUUCCAUUUGUUAUAUGUUGUAAACAGAUUUUCCUUAAACUGCCUAAAACAUCUGUUGGAAAUGUUUGUGAGGAGCUCCUGGACCUCAAGACUUGUUAAUACUGUCAAUGCUGUUAAUACUUGUUAAUACUUGUUUAUACAUAAGGAGAUAAAAAUGAGUCACAUUGAACUGACUUUUCACACAGAAAUAAAUGAUGAU